AGUGAUUACAUCAUUUAAGCCACAGGUGUCUCUUUUUCCUGCCUGCUCUCUGGACCCCAUGAUCUCUGGACUAUCCAUUCAGACCAGUUAGGCAAGAUGCCCUGCCCAUGGUAGAAAGGAAAUCCCUGAGGAAAUUGCAGGGCCAAGCGGGGGAGGGAGAAGACACCAGACUUGCACACUUUGCCAAGGUGGUCAGCCCAGUACCUCCCGAAAGCAACUAGAGGUGGGAUGUUAGGCAUUGACCAGGCACCGAGAAGUAGGUGCAUGAAAAAUGCCUCAGCUCAUCCCUCCUGUCCCUGAGGCCUGGCAUCCACUGAACUGAACUGAGUGUGGGCUGGGGCUCUUCCCACUUCCAGCUGCUCAUGAGCAUCUGCAUGGGGGUGGAGGGUGACUUUGCCUGAAUGAGUUCCUUGGACACAGAGCAGGGUCUGGCUGAGGACCAAUGUGGCAGGGACAGAGGAUACCUUGAAUGAUCUGGCUCCACACCCCCAAUAGCUGUGCACAGUGAAUGUGCAUUGCACAUCUAUGCAGCUUGGGUUGAUUCAUCUGUUCCGGAGGGAUCUGGACCCACGAAAGGGCAGCGUCAGGUGCCCAGAGCGGUGCUGAGUCCAGUCUAGCAGCCUCCCGCUUACCACACCCUCCCUCUGUGUGAUCUGCCAGAGCGCAGUUCCCUAGCCUAAGGAGUCGCGGUGGGAACGUCACAGAAGCGGUGACAUCACAGGCGCCAGCGCCCCCAGUAUUUCCAGCGCCCCCACAUCCCCCCGCACCAAAGAGCGCACUGGAGGCGGAGGGGCAGCAGCCACCAGUCCGCUCCCCGCCUCCCAGACAGAGCCUCGGUCAGCAUGGGGCUGACAGGUGGGAGCGAAGGGCAGGGUGGG
rnacentral:lncRNA from 1 species